AGUAUUUGUGAUAUGAAUAGAAUGCCUGUGUGAGAGUGAAGUGUAGGUUAUUUGAGUCUGAGAGUCCUGUGUUUAUUCCUGUGUCUGCGAAGAGAUGGGAGUGCUUGUCCGGUGUCAAACAGAGUUACCGUGGCGCAAUGUUUGGAUUAUGCUACAUCAAUGGAACGGCUUGAAUCUCCACACAAACAAGAUUUAAGGAUGACUGACAAACACUGCAGGCCGCAGCUCGCCAGGACCCUCAUUUCAUACAUGGUGGCCAGGCUGUGAACUGAAGAAGGAUGACAACAACAGCGACAAAAGAACAAGUGCACAUUUUGGACUGAGGUGUUUUACAAACCAUCCCAGUCCAAACCCGACUGCAGACAUGAAACCAAGCCUGGGCCUCUUGCCCACUAACCCUUGAAGUUUUUGGCUCAGUCGUUUGGAUUCCUGUGGUCUGUGUUAGUAAACACGAAAAGGAACGAGCCGUUAGCUGCUGCCCAGGCUCCCUGUAGGCUGCCAGGUGAAGCAGCUCUGUGUGUCCUGGCAGCACUAGAGUGAGGCGAGGGAGAGCCCAUCAACAACAUGAGUGGUGCAGUUUCUAAAUAUCUAACUCAAGCAGUGGAUGGAGGGGCAGAGGAGCAGUGCCAAUAGCAGCAAGUUGAAAAGAUGAACCUGACAGAUCUACAGGAUGCAGAUUUUCCUUCGGUACCUUUACGGAUCUCUGGUCUUCUGGCUCAGACUCCUGUGAACCUCUUCGAUAUCAGCUUUGGCUUUGCCCUCUGGGUUAUCCUGUCCUCCUUCCUCUGCUUGGAUCUGAUCUCCUGUCAGUUCUGCUGUUUUCAAGACUUCAAUAUCUGGGACUAUCUGGGCAGCAUUUGUCGCAUUGUGUUUCCAGCCGUCUGACCCAAAUCCACCUCUUCCUCUGAUCACGGACUGAACUAUAAGACCAGAGGUUCCUGCCUUAGACGCCCUAGCUGCCAUUGCCAAUCCAUCGUUUUUAAAUAAAUGCUUUUUGAGUAAUCUUACUGUCUGUCAUGACUUGAACACUGAGUCUUUUGUUCGGAGCCUUAACAUUGUAUGCCUCCUUUUAAAUAUGUUGGGUAUCCUUUAGGGGCUAAAAACAAAGACUCUCUGGAUUUGUUUCAUAAUGUCAACUAUGCUGUUAACUGCAACAGAUUUCUGUGCAAAAACACAGUAGCCAUGUUUAUAUCCAAAGUUCAUGAACAUUAUGAACAAAACUUUAUAAUACCUAAUAACGAUAAGAAACAAUAAGAGAAUUAGACGUGUUUCCACUGGAGCAAAUUAACCAGGUGGUGCAAAGUGUAAUGUCACAAUGUUUAUGCUUGACUGUAAUUAACAGGGAAUAGAGGUACCAUAGUGGCAUGAACCAAAGAUCAGUUAUCCAGAGAGAUUUUAAUGAAUGAGUUGCAAUCAGGCAAGUUGUUCUUACGUUAUCAUGUCAGCUAAAAUAGUGAUGCCAGAUGUCAUUUGGAGACGUUGAGAGAAAAUAAAUGGCAGCAGAAAUAGAGAUCAGUCAUGCGAGGUAAAUAUUCACAACAUUGGAACCUUUUCAAAAAGUGUGUUUCCAUGUCCUUUUAUGCACACUUAUUUAAUUGUUUUAAAGGCCUCGUUAUAUCAGACACCAGAACAUCUCCCAAAAGUAAUUUUCCUUGUUGAAUUUGCAAACAGUAAUUUCCUUUAUGUUAUUCUAUAUACCGGUAUUCUAUAUUACCUCUGGAGUAAUGGAUUUUCCUCUCUGAUUGUUUCACUCCGAAUAAUUGAACUAACUUUCAACUGUAAAUACAGCAAGUAUCUUCACAAGGAAAUCUGCCUUGUUCAUCUCUAGGUGAUAAAACUCCUUUCCGAUUAAUAUUAUGGUUGAACAUUACCAAACUCAUAAUACGUUCAUAUAACUGAUUGGAUUGACUUUGGACCUUUGGAUAACUUAAAUUGUAACCAGAAGUGAAAUAAACUU